GGGGUUGUGGCUCAGUGGUAGAGUGCUUGCCUAGCAUGUGCAAGGCUCUGGGUUCGAUCCUCAGCACCA
rnacentral:tRNA from 1 species